AGAGACAACGAAGGGACACAACUUGACUAUGCACAACUACACGACCGAGUGGGCAUGGAGUUAUUGCAUUGUGUUAACGAGGCUGGUGUAGCACUUGGUGAAGAUGAGGGAAGUGGAUCAUCUGAGAAAUCUCUUAGGAAAACAAUGAAGAGUUUCGUGAGUCGAUUCCACAAGAUGGCAGCUAUGCUCUCUUGCCAUGGAAGUAAAGCCGUCCUCACGGCUGGAGCUUCUAC